rnacentral:rRNA from 1 species
CCUACGGGAGGCAGCAGUGAGGAAUAUUGGACAAUGGGCGCAAGCCUGAUCCAGCCAUGCCGCGUGCAGGAUGAAGCAUCUAUGGUGUGUAAACUGCUUUUAUACAGGAAGAAACCUCCCGACGUGUCGGGAAUUGACGGUACUGUAAGAAUAAGGAUCGGCUAACUCCGUGCCAGCAGCCGCGGUAAUACGGAGGAUCCAAGCGUUAUCCGGAAUCAUUGGGUUUAAAGGGUCCGUAGGCGGGCCAGUAAGUCAGUGGUGAAAUCUCUCCGCUCAACGGGGAAAUGGCCAUUGAUACUGCUGGUCUUGAAUUAUUAGGAAGUAACUAGAAUAUGUAGUGUAGCGGUGAAAUGCUUAGAGAUUACAUGGAAUACCAAUUGCGAAGGCAGGUUACUACUAAUGGAUUGACGCUGAUGGACGAAAGCGUGGGUAGCGAACAGGAUUAGAUACCCUGGUAGUCCACGCCGUAAACGAUGGAUACUAGCUGUUGGGGGCAACUUCAGUGGCUAAGCGAAAGUGAUAAGUAUCCCACCUGGGGAGUAACGUUCGCAAGAAUGAAACUUCAAAGGAAUUGACGGCUUGGNGAGNGCGAGGCGACGACGAGGGAGGAGG